rnacentral:rRNA from 1 species
AGAGUUUGAUCCUGGCUCAGCCUGAACGCUGGCAGCGUGGUUAAGACAUGCAAGUCGCACGGAUAUAGUAAUAUAUCAGUGGCGCACGGGUGAGUAAUGUAUCGCUAAUGUGCCCCGGACUCUGGGAUAGCUAUCCGAAAGGGUAGGUAAUACCAGAUAAUAUGACCUGGCCGCAUGGUCGGGUUCUCAAAGGUCCGCCGGUCUGGGAGCAGGCGAUAUCGUAUCAGCUAGUUGGUGAGGUAACGGCUCACCAAGGCGACGACGCGUAGCCGGACUGAGAGGUCGGUCGGCCACAUCGGGACUGAGACACUGCCCGGACUCCCACGGGGGGCUGCAGUAACGAAUCUUCCCCAAUGCACGAAAGUGUGAGGGAGCGACGCUGCGUGGAGGAUGAAGUCCUUCGGGAUGUAAACUCCUGUCGGGAGCUACCAAGUUCUGAGGAGCUCCAAAGGAAGAGGCGGCUAACUCUGUGCCAGCAGCCGCGGUAAGACAGAGGCCUCGAGCGUUAGGCGGAAUCACUGGGCUUAAAGCGUGUGUAGGUGGAUUCUUAAGUGCCUUGUGAAAUCCCACGGCUUAACCGUGGAACUGCUGGGCAUACUGGGAAUCUUGAGCCUAUCUAGGGGCAACUGGAACAGACGGUGGAGCGGUGAAAUGCGUAGAUAUCGUCUGGAACGCUCAAUGGUGAAGACAGGUUGCUGGGGAUGUGCUGACACUGAGACACGAAAGCCAGGGGAGCAAACGGGAUUAGAUACCCCGGUAGUCCUGGCCCUAAACGAUGUCCACUAGAUCGCAGCACUUUUGACGGUGUUGUGGUCGAAGUAAAAAUGUUAAGUGGACCGCCUGGGAAGUACGGUCGCAAGGCUAAAACUCAAAGGAAUUGACGGGGGCUCACACAAGCGGUGGAGCAUGUGGUUUAAUUCGAAGCAACGCGCAGAACCUUACCUGGGUUUGACAUCCUUGGAUUAUCUCCAUGAAAGUGGAGUAGGCCCUUCGGGGUACAACUUGGACAGGUGCUGCAUGGCUGUCGUCAGCUCGUGUCGUGAGAUGUCGGGUUAAGCCCCAUAACGAGCGAAACCUUUGCCCUUAGUUACCAUCGAGUAAAGUCGGGGACUCUAAGGGGACUGCCGGUGUCAAACCGGAGGAAGGUGGAGAUGACGUCAAGUCCUCAUGGCCUUUAUACCCAGAGCCACACACGUGCUACAAUGGGGUGGACAAAGCGAACCUAGCGCGCAAGUGCAUGGAAAACGCAAAAAUCACCCCCCAGUUCAGAUCGGAGGCUGCAACCCGCCUCCGUGAAGUUGGAAUCGCUAGUAAUCGCGGAUCAGCUACGCCGCGGUGAAUGUGUUCCUGAGCCUUGUACACACCGCCCGUCAAGUCAUGGGAGCCGGAAAUAGCCGAAGCCGCCAUAAUUCGAUGGUGUCUACGCUAGGUUCGGUGACUGGGACUAAGUCGUAACAAGGUAGCCGU